UACGUAGGGUGCAAGCGUUAAUCGGAAUUACUGGGCGUAAAGCGUGCGCAGGCGGUUGUGCAAGACCGAUGUGAAAUCCCCGGGCUCAACCUGGGAAUGGCAUUGGUGACUGCACGGCUAGAGUGUGUCAGAGGGGGGUAGAAUUCCACGUGUAGCAGUGAAAUGCGUAGAGAUCGGGAGGAACACCUGUGGCGAAGGCGGCCGACUGGGCCGACCCUGACGCUGAGGCGCGAAGGCGUGGGGAGCGAACGGG
rnacentral:rRNA from 1 species